UAUCGGAUUGAUACUAAGCCAUGCGAGUCAUUGCAGUAAUGCAAGGCAGACGGCUCAGUAACGCGUAGUCAACCUACCCUAUGGACGGGAAUAACCUCGGGAAACUGAGUAUAAUGCCCGAUAGAACACUAUUCCUGGAAUGGUUUGUGUUCCAAAUGAUUUAUCGCCGUAGGAUGGGACUGCGGCCUAUCAGUUUGUUGGUGAGGUAAUGGCCCACCAAGACUAUUACAGGUACGGGCUCUGAGAGGAGUAGCCCGGAGAUGGGUACUGAGACACGGACCCAGGCCCUAUGGGGCGCAGCAGGCGAGAAAACUUUGCAAUGUGCGAAAGCACGACAAGGUUAAUCCGAGUGGUUUGUGCUAAACGAAUCUUUUGACAGUCCUAGAAACACUGUUGAAUAAGGGGUGGGCAAGUUCUGGUGUCAGCCGCCGCGGUAAAACCAGCACCUCAAGUGGUCAGGAUGAUUAUUGGGCCUAAAGCAUCCGUAGCCGGCUCUGUAAGUUUUCGGUUAAAUCUGUACGCUCAACGUACAGGCUGCCGGGAAUACUGCAGAGCUAGGGAGUGGGAGAGGUAGACGGUACUCGGUAGGAAGGGGUAAAAUCCUUUGAUCUAUUGAUGACCACCUGUGGCGAAGGCGGUCUACCAGAACACGUCCGACGGUGAGGGAUGAAAGCUGGGGGAGCGAACCGGAUUAGAUACCCGGGUAGUCCCAGCUGUAAACUAUGCAAACUCAGUGAUGCAUUGGCUUGUGGCCAAUGCAGUGCUGCAGGGAAGCCGUUAAGUUUGCCGCCUGGGAAGUACGUACGCAAGUAUGAAACUUAAAGGAAUUGGCGGGGGAGCACCACAAGGGGUGAAGCCUGCGGUUCAAUUGGAUUC
rnacentral:rRNA from 1 species